UAAUUCACGUACCGGAAUGACAGUUAAUUUUGAAUUUUAUUUUUAGUAAUCCUUAUUCCUUUGAACAAUUUUACUAAUUUUCUGCUGGAUAUGAAAUUUUGUAGUUUUAAAGGUCCUAGAAUUUAGUGAACUCUGUUCACACCGGACCAUUUCUAUACGAAUAGAUGACAAGCGUUUUGACUUUUGCCAUUUGCCUAGGCUUUGAAUAAAUUAUGUUAAUAACGCACGCAAUAAUUUUGAUCAAUAUGAAACGGCUACGAAAGAAAAAAUCCAGAUGCAAAUUAAAAAGAUAAAUUUGAAAAAGAGAAAGGUAAUUUGAAAAAGUAAUUCUUAAAAUAUUUCUUAAUUAAAUUUAAUUAAAGUCAACUUUGGAGCGCCAUUACAGCAGCAGCGUUUCAAAUGAAUUAU